CCACCAGCAGCGCGUGUACAAUAGGGGCAGGGCAGGGACAGGCGAGCGAUGGCCCACAGGCACGUGCGGCAUGGGCUCCUGCGGCUGGCCAGCGGAGGCCGGAGGCUUGUGCGGCCCCCCCACGGGGCUCAUCAAGGUGGACCGGGUCCUCUACUCCUCCGUCGUGUACCCGCACAACUAUGGCUUCAUCCCCCAUCGACGUCCUCGUCCUCACGCAGGAACCAGUUCGGCCACCUCCCGUCCACGGUCACCUUCAGUUUCGGCCUGUUGCCAAAUCAUAUUAAUAUAUGAUCAUUUAGAUAAUUGUCUAUACAUUUCUAUUCAGCUAUAUUAAUUGUAGACCUCACCAGUGAUUGCAACGGUACCUAAAAGCAAAUAGAAUCACAUAAGAGUAUAUUAUAGAUCUUCUUUUAUUUUUUUGAUUUUGGCCUAGAAUAUCUUUCUUUAUACUUAGUCAAGUUAUCUUAAAAUACCAUUUCAUAUUAGCAGUUGUACGUUGCAUAUUUAUUUUCAGGUUUAUUGAAAUGCCUGCAAAGUUGAAGAGAUUCCAGAAAUUGUAAGAUUUUCGAUAUGUUUGACCUUCAGUCUUGAUGCUUCAUUAUUUUAGUUGGGACUGAAAGUUAAUACAUCUUUGAGAGGCUACCGAUCAGGAUAUGCAUCCUAACUGAAGCAAUUCUUGGAAGAGAUAGUUUCAAAUUGCAGGCUGUGGCCGUUUAAAGCAGAUUAGUUUGCAUUGAAAUGACUGCAUGGUUCAAAUUUGAACCUUAACUAAUAUUAUCAUGGCAGCAUCUUGUGAACUGCUUCAACGUCCAUCGACUCAUGAACUGGCGCAAAAGCAGUCAGCUGUUUUAUUUUGCUGAAAUGUCAUGUUAUCCCGGUGAGCAAAUUUGAAACUUAUUACCAUGUAGUUCUUGAGAUGUAUCAAAUCUUUGACAUUGGCAGGUACUAUGAGCUACUUUUCUUCAAACUUAUUAAUUGUUUGAGUUCUAUGGCCAGAUUUGGUUGAUGUCGGUAUUUUGUACUUGAAGAAUAAAAUGAAGUACCAUAUAUUAUAAGACACAUCUAUUCUUUUUCAUAUAUAUGCAUGGUUAUUAUUUAGUUUUGAAAAUGCCAUGUAGUCUUGUCUGACCUCAAUAUGUUCCUGAACUAAACUAAGCAGUCCGUACAUACUUGGAGUAGUGUAUGGAACAUCAACUUAAAGUUUGUGUUUGAAUUAAAAAUGCAGAGUAUACUUGGAGGCCUAAUGCAAUGUUCUUAACACAUCUCGGAAUUCCUGAAUUAGUGUAUUGAAAAGUUUGACCUCAAACAAAGAUUGUAGGUCUGAUAUUCAAUAUUGUAGCAGUGCUUUGCCUUAUAUGACUAUUGCAUAAUGUAAUAUUAAACAUGGCCAGCCAGCUUGAUCAAUCAGAGCUCAAAUAAGGGAAAAGGGGCGUAGGUGAUAAGCUCCUUCAGUUUAUGAAA